rnacentral:rRNA from 5 species
CAACUUUCAACAACGGAUCUCUUGGCUCUCGCAUCGAUGAAGAACGCAGCGAAAUGCGAUAAGUAAUGUGAAUUGCAGAAUUCAGUGAAUCAUCGAAUCUUUGAACGCACCUUGCGCCCUUUGGUAUUCCGAAGGGCACACCUGUUUGAGUGUCGUG